AUACCCCUUUACACCUAGGAAAUUACCUUGUACAUGUAUGUACAUGUAGUCAAACCUGUCUAUAGCAACCGCCCAAGGGAAACACAAAAAGUGGUCUUUGUAUACAGGUUCCUUUUGUACAUGUUUCAAUGAGAAACCAUUUCCAAGGGAAACAAAAAUGGGGGCUUUUUAGACAGGUGGUCUUUGUAGAGUAGCGGGCUUGACACACUAACAGGUGUCCAUGACACAGUGUACAGUUUGUAGGUGCCCAAAAUCUGGGCCCAACAGUUUAAACAUGUUUACAUACCUGGAUGUUUCGUUCAAUCCGGACGUGCUUCCACAAAAGAUAAAAGAUAAUGUGGAGCCCUGUAUAUUGUAUCAAAAACAAUAGCAGACAAAAAAAAUUGGUUCAGUGACAUUAAUCCGUGUUAUUAUUGUUCUAAAUUCCACUGUAUGUCUAUCAGUUUUUUCCUAACGUAGAAACAGAUUAACUCAUUGUGAAUGUUAUUCCUACGCAAAAUAUUUAAAGGAAAACAUUUUAAGAUGAACCAAAUAAGAGUUUUUACCCAUACUUGAUUAAGGACUGAAAAAUAAUUCAUGAAAAAUUACAAGAGUUUGUCAACUUUGUAGUGGCACAGAGCAGGUAACAAUUGCAUUGUACCUCAAGUCCAUUUUGUAAGGUGUUGCAACCUACAACUGACAUUUAUGAGAGUAUGUAAGCAUUAUUCAAAAUUAAAGAAUUAACAUCUCUUACAUCUCAGUGAAUACAAGAAGCAAAGCAGUGUGCAAUCAUAAAUGUACAUACCCUUAGAUAGAAAAUAGCCUGUAAUAUUAAAGUAUGAAAGAUUUUGAUGAUAAUAAUUUGAAUCAAGCGCAUGUAACAGUUGUACAGUGUACAUGUGAAUAUUUUAAAUAGAAGUGCCAAAAAUUGUGUGAUAGAUAGGUAACUAUUUCAUUAUGUGUAAAUCUGUAAUGAUGUACAUGAUGUACAGGGUGUAUAGCAGGGUGGAAAAAGGCGCAUACAAUGUACUAUUAUAAGCUGUCUAAAAAAUUAUACUUAACGAAUGAUGACAAAUGUCAUUGACAACAUUUGCGUACAAAAUAUGGUAUGUACUCUGUUCCUAUUAGUGGUAUAAGCAUUUUGAAUUAGGUCCAUUCUAUUUAUUACAACGUACAUGUGUACAUAUAUUGUCCAGAUGUAUUUGCAGUCGUUUACCAGAGCUCAAGGUGCACUUUAAGUUUGGCUUUCGAAGUAUUUAACACAUGAUUGUGACCUUACUGAUAACAGUAAAUAUUGCUUCUGAAAGGUUAAUGAUAAAAAUAUAGUACUUACAUGUUGUAUGUACUUGUAAUAAAGAUGUAUUCACAAACUGGUAAAAAUGACGUUUAAACUAAUUCUACAAAUAAUGCCUGUAUAUGUCUUUGUAAAAGAUGAGAAUUUACCAGGUCACAGUGAUAAUUCCAUCUGCUAUCUUGAUUCUGAAAUACAAGAUUUGUGUACCAUUGAUCACCAUAUUUAAAGGGAUAGUUGAGUUUUGUUGCAAAGGGCUCUACACAAAAUAAUUUGUUUGUGAGAUAACGAAAAACUGAAAAGUGCCAAAUUUGAACAAAUAUACAAUUUAAAUGACAAAAUCAUCUUUCUUUGAUCAAAAUUGGUUCAGAGACGGCUGAGAUGUCCAUAAAUAUAACAAUUUAUAAUAUUUAUGACCAGUGUCCCACAAAUAUUCAGUGAUUUGAAACCAGCUGUUGAAAAACGAGAUAGCGCCUUAAACUUAUACGUUUUAUUCCAGCCAAUGCCAAUGAAUAUUGGCUUUUUGUUGGAUUUUUGUGAUGGUUAUAAUACGCACAAUGAGCCGGCCUGUGUAUUGUUAAAGUUAAUUAAUUGAUUAAUUAACGGUCACCAUAUUUUUAAGUGGAGUUGAAUUGUUAUGACCGUAUUCAAUCGAAAUUUCACACAUUAUGUAUGGGGUCUAAAAUUACCUUCAUAGCAAUUUUAGGUUCUAAAACGGCACUAGAAAUGUCAUAAAUCAGAAUAAGAGCAACAAUCAUGCACUUUGAAAGCAGUUGCAGUCUUGAUCAAGAAAUCAACUAUCCCUUUAAAAGUCUUAUCAUGGUAAAGAAAUCAGGGAUAGAAGUUCAAUUGGAAAUUGCAAUAUUGAAUAAUGUGCCAUGUAGACUGCAGGGUAGAACAACUCUAGGGAACAUCAACUUUGGUCCAACUGUAAAUGAUUACUUAAUACUUGACCUUACAGCUUGACCUCUUCAAUAACCUGGUGGGUACGAAGGUAUCAUAUACUCUGUACCUGUCAGGGUAAAUUUAUAUUGUUGUUAUUUUUAUCAUUAUCAUCAUUAUUAUCAUAAUUAUCAUGUAUACGAUGAUCUAAUGUGAAUCAGACUUGUUCAAUAUAUUUAGCUUUGUAAUGUUCAGGGAUAAUACCAAUAUUUGGUGAAUCUUUCUGAGCUCAUUGCUCACCCUAUUUGAACAGCUGACUACAUGUACAUGCUUAUUAACUGUGUACAUGCAAUUCAGUUGACAACCAAUAAUUCAACUCAAAUACUUCAACACACAAGUUUAAACCCACUUCUGGCUCUAGACAGAUGGUAUAGUGGUGCACGUACUCUCAUGGUAGUCUCCAAGCGCAAACUAUAAUUUUGUUGACACCUGAACAGAAUACACUGUACCAUGGUAUAUUUUUUAAUAGUUUAAACAUAUUUGUGGCUUACAUGAUCAUAUUGUUGUCGGUCUCUGGCUUGUGGUUACCGGUAUGUCAAAAGUAAGCAGGAAUAUAUGACAGACUUCUCAUAGUUCAGCAUCUCUAAGCAACAUCAAAUUCAGGCUUACCCGCACACAAUGUAUGCACAUUCUCCACUCCCUGGGAGCAUUCCAGCCAGCCGUCAUUCUACAGACGCUCACAAUGCUGAGCAAACUACCCAUUCAACACGGAGGUGGAGAUUGGCAAAUGUAGAUUAACGUCUUUCCCACAGGACGUUAGUGUUGAGCUGGGAUUUGAACCCGUACCUUGUGACCUGCAGUUGGGUGACGUAUCCAAUAGACCACAAGACCGCUAUCAAUUAUGCGCCAUGACUGACAAAGUUUUGUGCCUCUAAACUACUCCAUUGGCAUAUUCAUUUUUACUUUGCUGUGAUUUUUUCCCUCUUUUAAGCCACAUCAUUAUCAUCCUCCGUCUCCCCUUCCACCCCAUCUUCAUUUGACCUGCUUUUAUUUUAUAUGCAUGUAACUCAUCUACGUGAAUACAACUCGUGUCCGGAUGUUAUAAAACCACAGACAGAGGCAGAUGGUGGAAUUGAUCACUAUGUUUUCUGUAAUUGCUUAGAUGUGUGUGUGCCAUGAUUAUUCUUUUUUAUACUACGUGUAAAUGUGUACAGUAAAGCAAUAUCCUGACUUAGGAAAGAAAAUGAUCACUGCUUCAUACAGAAAUCAAUAUUUUAAAUGAAUAUUCUGUACGUUUAUGAUGUAAAUACAUGUUGGGUGUAAACAUUUCUGUUCGUAAACAAGAGCUUUAUUAUAGAUGUAAGAUAAUAUACAUAAAUUAUAUGACACUUAUAUAUUUGUUUGUGUUCCUCUAAGACACUUCUUUAUUCUUUGAAUACGAUAUAUCCCAUCACUCUCUUUCUCCACCAUCCAACUCUCUUUCUGUUACUCAGUUCGCAUAAUUAUAUAUUCAUGCGUGCCUUGUAAUUUUGCAGCAUUAAAGGGAAACCAAACCUUCAGAGCAAAAAACUCUGAAAGAAAGCAGAAAAUAAGAGAAGCAGACUGGUGAAAAUUUGAACGAAAUCAGAC